rnacentral:misc_RNA from 1 species
UAUGACUGCAGUCUUAAACAGCCAAGCCUAUUAACAUGUUCGUUUUCUAGGGUUUUUGAGUAAGUUUUUAGUUUUAAAUUUGUGCACUAUGAUUGAAUAGAAUUUUUAACAAAGUUCCAUAGAUGCAACUCCAUAAUUUCCAUCACAGGGGCAGAUUGACAGACCUUCACAUGUCUGUAAAUAUCAUAUAAUUUGUUCAAAACCUUCUGACUCAAAGUAAAACACUAAGAUAUAUUUUCAGAAUUUUAAAUCAGCAGAUUACCAAAAGUUUCUUUCAUCUG